UUCAGACUUGGAGAGUCAAUAACAAGCUGACAUCAUCAUUGUCCCAUGUAGGUCAGAGGUUCAUUUCCCUGCCAUGGCUCUGGAUUGGGAUUGGAUAAUGAUGACUGCAAGACUGUGUGGUUGGCUGAGGAUAGAUAAUGAGAAUUCAGAGGAAGAGAGUGGUUGGCUCAACAUUCUGCCAGACAACCUCUAGGUCACCAGGUUGCUCUUUAUGGCGCACAUCUGUCAACAUCGUUACGAGCACCUGCGCGUCAUCAGACUCACCUGGACUCCAUCACCUCCCUGAUUACCUUCCCUAUAUAUGUCACUCACUUUCCCUAGGGGCUAUUGUUUCUGUUCCUAGGUCAUAUCUGUGCAUUGUUUGUGUCACAUUUUGGUUUCAUUUAUUUAUUAAAACACUCACUCCCUGAACUUGCUUCCCAACUCUCAGCACACAUUGUAACAUAAACAUGCAUUUUGUGGUCUAAGGGCUGGGAUUCCCAUCAAUAACACUGUCUCAGAGCAUAAGGGAUAGCUGAAAACAAUUCCAGAAGAUAAACAUGCAUACAGGCUGAGGAAGAACUGUAGCUCUAAACCACUUGGAACAUUUCAGAGAGCAACACUUCAUAAACAUCUUCAAGGAAGGCAACAUCCGACUCUUAAAUUCUUUAUUUACUGAUGUCAUUUCAUUAGUCAGCAUUACUGUAUGUUUAAACAAAGAAGCAUGGACUUUCUGCUUUAUAACAGGCAGAGAUAGAACUGGCAGGAUGGUCUGUGUUGAGGCAGACACCAUAAUUUGGGCUGUGGCAUUUACAUGUCUCUUCCACUGCACGUGUCCCACUGUGACACAUCACCCACUGCAAUGAUCACCAUUGUCAUGACGUGGCCCUUUCUGGGUAUAGAUCGUGGCAUCCCUCUCACUCUCUCUCCAACACCCAAGUUCUGUUAUCUCAGGUUGUAAAUUCCUGGAGGAGACUCUCUCCUGGAAGCCCGACCACAGCUACGACCCAGACCGUUUUGUUUCAUGUUUGUGACCUCAUGAAAGACAAUACAGCCACAUUACCAUAACUAUGU